rnacentral:misc_RNA from 1 species
GAUGAAGAACGUAGCGAACGUGCGAAACGUAAUGUGAAUUGCAGAAUUCAGUGAAUCAUCGAAUCUUUGAACGCAUCUUGCGCUCCUUGGUAUUCCGAGGAGCAUGCCUGUUUGAGUGUCGUGAAUACUCUCAACUUCAACCCUUUUUUCGGAAAGGGAGGAAGGUUGGACUUGGGUGUUUGUUGAAGUGCGAGAUUCGACUCAUCCUAAAUGCAUUAGCGAUCUGCCUCGAUCACACACAAUGUGAUAAUUAAAACUAAAGCAUUGUUUAAUGAUCAAGUCGAGACUGCUUCUAACUGUCGCAAGACAAUAACGUGCAUACAUUUGUGCAUGUCAUUUGACCUCAAAUCAGGUAGGACUACCCGCUGAACUUAAGCAUAUCAAUAAGCGGAGGA